CUCAGUUCGGAUUGGAGUCUGCAACCCGACUCCAUGAAGCUGGAUUCGCUAGUAAUCGCGCAUCAGCCACGGCGCGGUGAAUACGUUCCCGGGCCUUGUACACACCGCCCGUCAAGCCAUGAAAGCCGGGGGUACCUGAAGUGCGUAACCGCAAGGAGCGCCCUAGGGUAAAACUGGUGAUUGGGGCUAAGUCGUAACAAGGUACC
rnacentral:rRNA from 1 species